AGCCGACACGCAACCAGCCCGCGGCCGCCCGUCCUCUCCCGCCCGCGCCCGCCCCGCAGCCCGCGCCCGCCCGCCGCAAGUUUGUUCCCCGCCGCUGCGGCCUGCGCGGAGAGAGGAUCGCGCGCGGGGAGGCGCCGAGGGGCAGCAAGAGUGGAGAAAGUGCGGAAAGAAGCAACAGCCGCUCCACCCGCGGGCGGAAAAGUGGCCGGGCGCGGCGGCGGGAUGCGGCGCAGCUAACGGUCCCCGGCGGCCGCCGGAGCCGCUAGGCGCAGAGGCAGUCUUUUGUUUUUAGCUCACAAGUGUAGGGCUGGAGCUACAGGAACCAUCCAGGUGCACUGGCUUGGCCUCUGCAUCUUUCUGUGCCACUGUCUCAUUCUGUUUCCGGCUGUGCGUGGAUGCGGAUGGCCCAGAGAGCAUGGAAGGGGAAUAAACUGGACUGGACUUCCUGUCCACCCUCUACAACUAACAAGGACCUUUGGUGAUCUCGCUCCUUUGCUCCUUGGACCUGGAAUUAAUCUAAAAGUCCAAGAAAGCAUCUGGUUCUGCAAAGAUACAGAAGCCAACAGUUGCCCAUCACUGCUCCUAAUCGUGUUUGCCAGUUCCAGGUGGUGUGAACUUCUCCUGGGACUGUCCCUCCCAGCAGCUCCAGAGCCACACUGCCUUGGAAGACCCGACAGACAGAUUGCUCCACCUUGACCCUUCUUUCCACAGUGUCUUCAGCAUCUCUGUCCCUCCCAUUCCCACUCCAUUUCUUCUAUCUCUCCCCAUGCAAGAGAGCCCCUAUGUCCACACCUGAGCCCUGUUUGUCUGUGUGUACAGAGGAGUUGACCGGAUUGGAAAUAUUCAAUCAACCCACAGCUGUAAGGAACAUGAAACACCAGGGUUUAACUACAGAGAGGAAGCAGGAAACAGUGAGCCAGAUGGAAUACAAGGCAGUGUGACCACGGAGACAAAGACUGGAUGCAAUGCACCAUGCACGUCAGCACCUGCCAGAUUCUGAAGUCUGGGCCAUGGAUGGCCCCAGAGUACCCAGGACCAGUCUACUAUGUAGACAGACACCUUCCUAGUGAAACUAGUUUGGGACUUUCUUCUCCUAGGACUGUUAGAGAAAAACAUGUGGAAAGUGGGCACAGGAAAGUACUGUGUCUUACUGUGAAUCUGCAUCAAAUGGCCUUGCCUCUCCUGCUUGAGCAGCUCCGUUCUGGUGUCAUGGCCACAGUACCUCUCUGCUGACUUCUGGCCUCCUUACAUUACUGGCUUUACAUAGCACUGCCAAAAAUGCGCUGGAGAACAAUUUGAAGGAUGAAAGACUUGAUUCAGCUCACAGUUUCUGAGGACUCAGCCUAGGGCUGCGUGGCCUUGUGUAUUUGUCAUGAUGGCUGCAUUGUGUGAUGGAGGGAGUACUUUAUGUCCUGGGGAGCAGGAAGCAGAGAGGGGAAGGGAUCAGAACCAGGAGCAAGUAGGAAUACCUUUUGCUAUUUGAACCUGUGGGGUACAAGAGACAAUCCAGUCACAGCACCUCCUGCCCAUGAUCUUUGGCCAGCAUGGUCUCACACAUCUGUGAAAUGGCUCAGUGCAGCAGAGGCCUAGGAAGGUGGGAGACAAAGCCCCUUUGUCUGUCUGUCCUCUGCUUACCACUCCAUCCUUUCCUGCACAGGGCUCAUCAGAGCUAAGCUAAGACACAGAGCAAAACUCUAAACCUUCGCAGGAGAAGAUAAUUUAUCUUCAUUUACUCAUCUGCACGCCCAACAACAAGAAGAUUGUUUAUUUUAGAAGCUACUGAGUCAAGGAAGCCCCCAAAGUUAAGGAAUGUACAUUCAGUAAGCUCUGUGGGGUUCCAAAGAUGGGGAGACCGACUGACCUUGGCUGCUUCCCCCAAGAACCUUACAGAGCCAGUCAAGUGAAGAGGACACAGGUUCCACAGUGCGUCAGAACAAAAGGGAGAGGAGAUCACUCUAAAUCAGGAACCAGCAAAAGCCUGCUUGAAGAGGGAUUUCUGAGGAGGACCUGGAAGGACCAUGUGCUAGAGAGCACAGUUGAUUAGCAUAAGUCAUGAAAGGCAGCACCACAGCCCAGUCUGGUAUGGGAAUCUGGAGCACAGGCCAGCAAAUGUCUCCUGCAAAGGACUAAAUACAAGUCUUUUAAAAUGAUUUUUAUUAUAUUUAUUUGUGUGCUUUCUCUCAUAUUCUCUCUCUCUCUCUCUCUCUCUCUCUCUCUCUCUCUCUCUUUCUCUCUCUCUCUCUCUCUGUGUGAGUGUGUGUGUGUGUGUACAUAUAUGUGCUGAGUCAGAGAACAACUUUAGGAAUUAAGUUCUCUCCUUCUACCAUGUAGCUCCCAGGGAUCAAACUGAUUGCCAGGCUUACAGGCAAGGGCCUUUACCCAUUGAGUCAUCUCACAGGCCUCCAAAUGGAAAAAUACUCAGGCUUUGCAAAGGUAUAGGCUCUGUAACUUCUUUCCAGCACAAAUGCAGCCAUACAUAAUCCAAAAAUGAAAAAGGUUGACCGUGUUUCAAUAAAGUUUUAUUUAAAGGAACAAGCAGUUGCCGGAGCACCAGCUGGGAGUGUUAUAGGUCAUGAAAAGCACUACUGGAGAUCUGUGAGGAAAAUGGAAGACAUUGUGACAUUACCAAUGCUCUGUGUUAAGAAAGUAAUCUGGCCAUGGAAGGAUGAAAGAGUGGAUGAAGAGGAAAAGGGGAAUAAGAUCCAUGGGAAAGGGCAGAGAUAGGGCAGGAGAGCAGAAGGGCCAACUCUCGGGAUGAGGAAGGGGGUUCAAGACGCUGAAUUAAAGAAGCCUCCUAGUGUAGGAACCAGGAUCUGGGAGUGAGGAGGGCUCAAGUACAGAGACCACAGAGACUGGAUGCUGAGUCUGCCUCCCAGGGUCUCUGCACUCUAGUCAGCAAAGUUCAAGAAAGCACCAAGCAGUGUGCCAGACAGCUUGUCAAGCCUCUUGGUCUCUUUUGUGCUAGGUGUCACAGCACUGGGACCCAGGGCUGGCACAGACUCCAGUGUGACCCCCAGGAUUCCAUGAAGACAGUACCUGACACUCUCUGCGUCUGGGCAAGCACAGGCCCCAGGCAGAGGAGAUGGAACAUCACUGAGCUGCAAGACACCCCGGCACACAGCCAAAGCAGAACUAAACGGAGAACCACGGAGGCUGUGUGUGGGCCAAAUGGCUUUCUAAUCAUGCUGUCCUCCAGACAAGAGCAAACCCUGUCUCUCCAACAGCAUGCAUGUGGAGCCAGGGAGAGGGGAGGAGGCCGGGCAUCCUGCAAGGCCAAAGCAAAGAAUCUUGUUUCAAAGCUCCUCGAUCCCCUUGACCUGGGUCAGUGGAACAGAGAAAGAGGAAGAGUCUUUAUUCCUGGAACAUUAGGGAUCUGAUCUGUAGACCUGAGCACUUGGAAAUGGAGCAGGUGAAUCUGAAAGAAAACAUGCAGUUUUCUAGUGAAUGUUCCACCAUCCUCUCUGGAACUUCACACAACACCCUCCUGGAAACAAAAACGUUGGAGUUUUGGGAUGUUUUAGUUUUUGUUUGGUUUGGUUUGUUUUUGCUGGUUCUCUAGCAAGAGUUGUCACUUCUGCUAUGCAUGCUGAAGCAAUUUGCCUAAAGGGAGACAGCUUGGAAUUUGUCACAUUUAUGUCCCACAAAGAGGAGGUUUGG
rnacentral:lncRNA from 1 species